rnacentral:rRNA from 1 species
UAAACUAGGAUUAGAUACCCUAUUAUUUUAAAAUAAAUUUGAUAGUAUUGGAGAGUAAAUGUUAACCAUUAAACUUAAAUAAUUUGGCGGUAUCUUAAAGAAUUAGAGGAAUCUGUUUAAUAAAUGAUAAUCCACGAUAGGGAUGUCUUAAUAUAUUUUUAUAUAUUGUUGUUUGAAUAUUAGUUUAAGAGAAUUUAAUAGAGAUUUAGAAUUUUAAAAUAAUUCAAAUCAAAAUGUAGAAUUAUUAAGUUUUAAUGGAUUACAGUUUAAUUUAAUAAUGGAUUUUAAGUUUUAAAUAUUUAAAUGAGAUAGGAUUUAAUAGUAAGAUUAUAAAAUAUUAUAGUUUGAAGUUUCUAUAAGAUAUGUACAAAUUGCCCGUCAUUUUCA